ensembl:lncRNA
CAAAUGCUCCUUGAACUCCAGCACUUGGGGCCAUGCCCGCUGCCCUGGGCAGCCCGUUCCAUGCCCACCACCCUCUGGUGCAGACCCUUUUUUUUUGUAGUACAUUUAUGUUUAUCACCAGCCUGACUGUGUAUUUUUUUUUAGAAAAAUUGCUCUGAAAAGCUUCCCAUGCUUUCUGAGCUGAUGUUGAUUAUAACAGCAGGCAGGGAGGUGCUACUGGAGCAGGCUGACUGAAUAACUGCUAAAAACGUACCUGGCUGAAGUUAUUGAAACUGUCCUCUCCACCACCCCGGCAUUAAUGAAAAGGCUAAUCUUCUCUAAGUCUCUUAUAACCCAGCAAUCUCUUAAGGGGCUGGAUCCGUGAUUAAAAACAGAGGGAAAGCAGCUGUCUUUUUAUCCUCUCAUAAUUAUUCCUUGGUCGUCAAUAGGUGUUGAUUUCCUGGGAGUGUCAUGGUGAUGGAGGUUACGUUUCCCUGUGUUGUUGGGACUAAAUGUUCAGGGGCGUUGGUUGUUUGAGUGCUCCACUGAGAGCUCUGGAGACGGAAAGUGUGAGUGUUGUUCUCUGUGAUUGCAUCGCAUCGUGAAGGUUUGGCUUAUUUUGGAAACGUGCAUCUAAAGGCCAAAAAACAGCUAUCCAGUGUCAAGCUACAGAUGACAAGUGCAAGAGGACUAAUUCACACUGUGUCCUACUUUCAGUGGCGAUGACUCAGUCACCUUGUUACUCUAUUACUUGCAUCUGCAGACUUGGAAAAAUUAAUCUCUCAAGAAG